GUCCGUUUCCCAUCACUCUGCACCACGAUGGUGUAUAUGCCACUUCGUUAUGAAGUUGGGAUAACCAAAUUCUUGAACAUUCCAAGAGUUUCAUUAGAACAAGUUAGAAGUUACAUCGAAGCUGAAACUGGUAGCCCUAUAUUUAACAUUUACUACCUUUUAACCAGUGGUGAUUUUGGAACUAUAAUGAGAUUAGUUUCAAAUCAAGAUUUGGAAGUAUUUUAUGAUGUUGGUGAAAGCUAUGGCACCAUGCAUAUGUAUGUUGAUCACCAGAAUUUAAACUUAGAACACUAUAUAAAUAAUGGACCUGAGGAUCAUGUAGGAGAUGAUGAUAAUCAAGAGGUUGUAGAGCAGGUUGAGUUGGUACAGGAUGAUGAUUAGCCUCCCCCUGAGGAUGAUGAUGAUGAUCAGCCUCUACAUGUGAAUGAACCCGAUGACUCUUUUAGGACUCCUGAGGCAGGUUAAUCUAGCAUGAAGAGCACUCCUGAGGCAGGUCAAUCUAGCAACCAACCACAAGAUGGAAACUUUAGUGAUUUGAAGAUGAGGACUAUGAACCAGAUGAAUCUGAUGUUGAAUCACUUGCUUCUUUAGAUCAUCUUAGUGAGGGUAAGGAAGAGCUAGAACAGGUAAGACAGGGUAAUCACAAGUAAACAAUUGCCUAAACUUGGUGGUGGUGUUAAGGAUAGAGAGGACAGGUCAGUAUUACAUGAAGAGCAUGAUAAUUUUAUUUCCAAACUAGUAAAUGCAUUGAAAGAUGAUAGCAAAUCAGAGUGGGUUGAUCCAUUGGAACCACCCAAAGAUGAUGUGCCAAAGUUUCCAAUACAUGACAAACAUACCCAUUGGAGAUUGAAGGAACCCAAGAUUGGAGAGAGGUAUGAGAGUCCACAACAAUUGAAAGAGUGUUUGUCUUAUUAUGCAUUGGCCAAUGGUUAUUCACUGUGGUAUGAGAGGGCUUCUAAAAGCCAUAUCAUUGCAAGAUGUGGAGUCAGGCCACCAAGGAUAAAAGACCCCAGUGUUGGCAAAUAGAGAAAAAACAGAAGAUAUCAGCCCCCUCCACAGAAAUGUAAUUGGAGGUUGGCUGCUGCAUGGAUGACUUCAGAAAGAUCUUUCCAGGUGAAGAAGCUAGUUGAUGACCACACAUAUGCAAGAAAUUUCAAGUAUGGUAGCCUGAUCAACUACAAGUGGAUAGGUAGACACUUUGCAGACAGAAUUAGACAACAACCUAAUAUCAAAUGCUCUCUACUUCAAGAACUGGUAAUGAAAAAAUAUAAAUGUUUUGUAACACAACAGCAAGUCAAAAGAGCUAGAGCAUGGGCAUUGAAUGAGUAUGAGAAGUCAUUGGAGGUGCACUAUGCAAUGCUAAGGCCAUAUGGAGAUGCACUGUUAAGGACAACCCCAGGGUCAACUGUGCAAUUAGGUACAACCACAAAUCCAGAUGGAAAGACUUACUUUGAUAGGUUCUAUGUGUGCCUGUUUGGUCUCAAGGAAGGAUUCAAGAAGCGAUGUAGGAGAAUAGUUGCCUUAGAUGGAUGUUUUCUAGAAGUCAUCAUGUGGAGGUGAGUUAUUGACUACAGUAGGGAGAGAUGGAAAUAACCAGAUCUAUCCUAUUGCAUGGGCAAUUGUCAAUGUGGAAAACAAGCAUAAUUGGACAUGGUUUCUUACACUACUGAGCAAUGACCUUGAUGCCCCCAAUGGAUUUCAACUCAUACUGAUGUCAGAUGGACAUAAGGGACUGAUUGAAGCUGUGAAAGAUGUGAUGCCAAGAGCUGUGCAUAGGUAGUGUGCAAGGCAUGUAUAUGAGAACUUCAGGAAAAUAUAUAGUGGGGUUGAAUUCAGGAAUUUGUUUUGGAGAGCUGCUAAAAGUAGUUACCCUGCACAAUUUGACUCUGUGAUGAAAGAAAUUAAAGCUGCUAACCCAAAUGCCUUCAAGUACUUGAUGGAAAGGAACCCAAAGUCAUGAAGCAUGGCAUUUUUCAAGACUGAUGUAUGCUGUGAAUCUGUUGAGAAUGGCUUCAGUGAAUGCUGGAACUCUGUGCUGACUAAGGUAAGAAACAAACCAAUAAUUACUCUCUUAGAAGCACUUAGAGUCAUGGUGAUGAUUAGGUUAGAAUCAACUAGAGAGAAAAGCUCACUGUGGGAACAUGAUAUUUGUCCUGCUAUAAGAAAAAAGUUAGAAGUAAUAAGAAGUGGAGGGGCAGAUUGGUUAGUCAUACAUGCUGGUCAAAACAAAUUUGAGAUUAGGAACUAUAGAUAUGCAUAUGGUGUAGAUGUGGACAUGGGUACUUGUGAUUGUAGAAUGUGGGAUUUGAGUGGUAUACCAUGUGUUCAUGCAAUGCAAGCAAUGUAUAAAAUGAACAGGAAUCCUAAGGAUUACUUAGCCAUUUAGUUCAGAAAGACUUACUUUAUGUUUGCAUAUUAGCAUUACUUGAAUCCAGUUGGGGGAAUGGACACAUGGUUUUCAUUUCCAGGUUCAGUUGUGCCACUGCCACCCAGGCCAAGCUAUGCCUGGGAGACCAAAAAAGAAAAGGACGAGGGCAACACAUGAACCAAAAGUGUAUGGUUCCAGGGUUACAAAACAUGGGGUAGAGAUGAGUUGUUCCAACUGCCUGCAGAAGGGCCACAAUGCUAGAGGUUGUAAGAAUGAGAAGGUAGAAAAACCAGUGGUUGCAAAGCCCAAAGGGAGGCCACCAAAGCAGAAAGCUAGUGAAAGCAUGAGUAGUGGCAAUGCUGGUCCAAGUCAGAGACCAAGUGCACAAGUCUGGAGCAGGGCAACCAAAUACCUAGCCAGGGACCACAACCUCAGGGUUCUACAUGCACUGGUGUUCCACAGAGAGCAAGUCAAUGUUCUAGUGUCAAAAAGAGAUUGUUUGAAGAUAGUCAUAUUGCACCAAAUCAACAAAGUCAAAGUAGCCGUCAUGGUAAAGCACAAGUUAACUCUGAACAUGAGACACAACAACCUGUUAAAAUGCAAGCAAGGAUGCCAUCACCACCACUGAGUCCAAGAAGAAGAGUGGGAGUUACUAAAGGAGGAUAUAGGUUUCCAGUUCCUGUUCCAGACAAUUCAGACUGUGUUGAGAAACUUCCUCCUAGAAUUCCAAAAACUAAGAGGGGUGGUGGUACCUUAGGGUUAGGAAGGGAUGGACCAAGAGUUGCAUUUGGAAGGACAGUUCCAUGGUUAAGAAGUGGGGUGGGUACAUAUGAGAAAGUCACAUUUUCUGCAAUAAAGAGAAAAAUGCAACCCAAAAAAUAAGUCUUUGUACCAACUAUGAUGGCUGAACCAACUAUGAUGGCUGAACCACAACUAGGGACACAGGAGCCAGUGAAUGAAGGCACAAGGAAACAAACAACCCCAAAAAAACCAACACCCAAGAAGCAACAAGCAGCUUUGAAGAAAAGGCUUCCAAGCUAAAGAAUCCUGGAGAGGAAACUGUGCAGGAAGGAGAAUGAUGAUCGCCCUGGACUCACAGAAUCUGAUGAUAUUACUAUAUUGUAAUUUGGUUCUAAAUUUGGUCCAUGUAAUGUAACUUUGUACUGUAAUAUUUAGGUCUAGAUGCAUGGUAUGGGCAGUUUGUUACAAUUUUCUGUAACUCAUCUUUUGUGUAUCUAGUAACAAACUCCCUUGGUAUUUCUACAUAUGCAUUGAAGAAACAAACUUAUUUGUUGGGUUUUAUGUACCUAACAUGUGACAAA